rnacentral:misc_RNA from 1 species
CUGAGUGAGGGCCCCCGGCCCGACCUCCAACCCUUUGUGAUUACACCAUUGUUGCCUCGGGGGUGAUCCGGACUCGCGUCCAGGGCGCCCCCGGUGGACCACUUCAAAACACUGCAUCUAUGCGUCGGAUCGAUACAUUUAAUUGAUGA